CAACGAUUAAUUUCCAAAUAGAUCGUGGUACAACUUCUCCAACAGCUCUUUGCUCCGAUCAUCGAGAUGCUCUUAGUUUGAGUUUUUUCUUUCAUCAAUUGAUUUGCCUCUUCUUGCCUCAUGGCUAUUUUUUCCAAGCGUUCCAAUUCUUGCUCCUUGAAUUGUUUGAAUUCAUUCCACUCUUCAUUGACCACUUCCAAGGCUUAGCCCUUGCCUUUCUUUUUACCCUUUUUUUUUUAGCUGCAUCCCUCCCCAUUGGAUGAGCACUAGAUCCUACAGAGUUAAAAUCACUUGCAUCACUCUCUCGAGAUCUCUUAGAUCCACUACUUCCAGAGCCAGUAUUUCCUCCUACUUGACUACCAUAGCGUGGUUGAUC
rnacentral:lncRNA from 1 species